GGCCCCCUCAGCAACGAACGUCAACUGCGGGCCUCCUCACGUGAUUUGAUGGCCUCAGUGGUUCUCGCGGACCUGCAUCAUGGCGAUGGAUGCCAGCAGGUCCUCCAGCUUCUUCUGGUCCGCCACGAAGCCCUUGAUGCCCUGGUCCAGCUUCUCCACAGCCAUCUGAGCGGGGCGCGUUUGCGGUGAGCGCGGCACAGCGGUUAGACGUCGCGUACGGUAACCCUCCUACAAGUCUGCCUGUCAAGUAGCUGCGAAACCGCAACUAAGCCCCUCCCAUAAUGCGCGUCCGUGUACAUGUCGAUGGACAAUGCCAACUGCCUGCCGCACCGCCCCCCUCUGUGCCCCUGCCGGCCCCACCUGGUCCGCGCCGUGCAGCUUGACAAACAGGUCCUCGUGCAUGUUGGACAGCUUGAGCGCGUCCGUCUGCGCCCUGGUCACACGAAGAUGGGGCGGCAGAGGUGCACACACCGUCAAGCACUAUUAGAUAGCCGGCAGGCGUGAGACACCUCACGGCAGGACCCACAAGCACGUGCAUGCGAGAGCACCUGCCACCGCAUUUCUUCUCCGGUCGCACGGUGCCCCCUGCCCCCUGCCCAGUACCCCGGACAGACAACACCACGACCCUGACCACGAC
rnacentral:lncRNA from 1 species